UCAGAACACCCUAAUUCCAGUACCAGCCAGAGAUAACUACAUUCAGGAUCUCCCACCUCUCUUGAUUUCUUCUCCUUAACAGCCUUCCUCAUUAGAGAACUCACCACCCCCUGCCUCAGGGCUCAUUUCUACAGCAGUUCUUCCACUUGAUCACAAGUCCCCGCAAGGACAGUGAACCCCCAGUAGGACAGUAUGUCUCAUGCUGAAUGUCAUUGUGUGGAAAAAAAAAAAAAUCAACCCGAAUGUUGGAGGAUCCCAGGUUGGAAUUGAAACUGUGAAAGGAAGACCUGACUAUGCUACAAAUGUACAGCACAGCCCCACUGAAGGAGUGGGGAAAGGGAUGCUCAUCUCAGCAGCUAAGGAAAAUAGUGUGUGUCUUCACCGGAUACUCUAACAUAAAGAUGAAAAGAUGCUCAUCCAAAUGACAAGAGAGACAGUGACUUCUGAAAGAAGGAAGCAGAGGAAGAGGAGGAGGUGAAGGGGGAGAAGGAAAAGGAGAAGGAGAAAUAAUUUGAGAAUGAAGGAGAGGAUUGCAGUCUGGGAUACAAAGGCACAUCCGGGGAGGAACGAGUAGCCACGAGUCCGACAACUGCAAGGAAAUAUGUUUGGCCGGCCAGCCGCAUGGGUGGAUUUAGAAGCUGAUUCUGCAGGAGAAUGCAGAGAACUCAGCUAAACCGCGUACAAAGCAACAGACAGAUGAGACGUGUACGCUCUUCACAGCUGCUAUGUUUGUGGGAAAACCAGGACAGUGAAUAACAGGCUCACUCCAGCGCCAUGGAAGAGAUUCUGAUGACGAAAGAACUCCAGCUGCUUCACCUAUAGAAAGGAAACAAUGGUAUUGAUAGCUCUGUUGGUGACGGUUCUGAAAGACCCAGUCCUGGCUGGAACGCAGCCAGUUCAUCUGAAGAGCGGCGCCCGGGAGCAUUUGGUAGCAGUGAUCACAGCUUUUAAAGGUAGAGGUGCUCUUGGACCCAAAGGACUUAUUUUAGAUGGCUAGACAAAUAACAACAGCCCUCCAUGCCACGGCAAAACACCUGACGUUUCCAGAAAAGAAGAACAAUUUUUACAUCCAGUCAUGUCACCAAAAACAUGCUACUGAGGGAUUGGUGAGGAGUGUGGAGAAAGAAAACUGACCAGUGUAGGAAGUUUCCGGCUACUCAUAAUACAUAUCCUCUGUGAGAUAAUUCCUUGUACCAGCUCUCUGUGAAGACUGAUUGGCUGGGAAGCUCUGUUAAAAGAUGGCCUUUAACCUUUUCUUUGGGUAAGGGACAUAUCUCUGGAAUCAUUAUUUUUAAUGUAUCUUUAAUGUAAAGAUACCCUAACUGUGUAGAUCAUAUAGAUAGAAAAUUCUAGAAAAUUAUGGAAAUAUCUUUUAUAGUUCAAGAGGCUUUUGUAAGGUAUUUUUGAAGAAGUCAAUAAGGAUACCUUAAACUUUGCUCUUCCUAGUACUUAGGUAGAUCUCAGUUUUCUACUUCACUUUACAGAAAGGAAAACAGGAGUAUCUUAUUGUAUGAAUGUGCUAUGAAUAUUAUUGUAUCUAAUAGGAGUCUAAAGCUUCCUCUGUGAGAAAUCUGUGAGUUUUCUGUGGCCUCAGUAUUGGUGAGGAAGGACUUUGUGGUGUUCCCAGGCAGAAAAUCACAAUUUGUAUUUUGCAAAUAUAAA